rnacentral:misc_RNA from 1 species
UCCGGUUUGGCACCGGCAGUCUCCCUAGAGUUCCCGACAUGACUCGCUGGCAACUAAGGACAGGGGUUGCGCUCGUUGCGCCACUUAAGGCAACACCUCACGGCACGAGCUGACGACAGCCAUGCACCACCUGUGCAGGCUCCGAAGAGCGCCCGCUUUCACGGGUUUCACCCUGCAUGUCAAGCCCAGGUAAGGUGGGGAUGACGUGUCUAGGAGGGUG